rnacentral:rRNA from 1 species
GUGUCAGCCGCCGCGGUAAUACAGAGGGUGCGAGCGUUGUCCGGAAUCACUGGGCGUAAAGGGCGCGUAGGUGGCGAGCCAAGUCCAUGGUGAAAGCUCGAUGCUCAACAUCGAGUCGGCCACGGAUACUGGUGCGCUUGAGCACUGUAGAGGCUAAUGGAAUUCCGGGUGUAGCGGUGGAAUGCGUAGAGAUCCGGAAGAACACCGGUGGCGAAGGCGGUUAGCUGGGCAGUUGCUGACACUGAGGCGCGACAGCGUGGGGAGCAAACAGGAUUAGAUACCCUCGUAGUCC